GCGAUAGGCUUCGGGUAGCUGCAAGCGAGCGUAAAUCCGAAGAUUUCCGAAUGGGGUAACCCGAUAUUCCUGAUAAGGGAGUAUCAUCUUUACUUAAAUCAAUAAUAGUAAAGAAGGUAAGCAGGUGAAGUGAAACAUCUCAGUAACCUGAGGAAAAGAAAGAAAAAUCGAUUCCCUUAGUAGUGGCGAACGAAAAGGGAAUAGCCUAAACCAAUCAAGUGCUAAAGCCUUGGAGCGUUGCUUGAUUGGGGUAGUAGGAGUAACUAUUUUGGAAUUCCAAGAUUCCAAAGGAAGUUAAAAAAGAAUUUCUUAAUUGAAUACUAUGGGAAGAGUAGCCAUAGAAGGUGAAAGCCCUGUAAAGACAAGAAAUUCUCUUCCUUAGUUACUCCUAAGUACCAUGGGACUCGUGAAAUCCUGUGGGAAUCAGGGAGGACCAACUCCUAAGGCUAAAUACCUCCGUGACCGAUAGUGAACAUAGUACUGUGAAGGAAAGGUGAAAAGAACCCCGGAAGGGGAGUGAAAUAGAACCUGAAACCAUAUGCCUACAAACCGUGGGAGGACUAUAUUAAGAUUUUCUUAAUAGUCUGACCAUGUGCCUAUUGAAGAAUGAGCCAGCGAGUUAUUGAUUACGGCAAGAUUAAGGGUUAAUCCCGAAGUCAUAGCGAAAGCGAGUCUGAAUAGGGCUUUAAGUCGUAAUCAGUAGACCCGAAGCCGGGUGAUCUACCCAUGGUCAGGUUGAAGUGAGAUUAACCUCUCAUGAAGGACCGAACCAAUCAGGGGUGAAAUCCUGUUGGAUGAACUGUGGGUAGCGGAGAAAAUCCAACCGAACCCGGGAAUAGCUGGUUCUCCCCGAAAUGCAUUUAGGUGCAGCCUCAGGUUAAAUGAGAAGUGGUGGUAGAGCACUGGAUGGGCUAGGGGUCCAUUGGGCUACCAAACCCAACCAAACUCCGAAUACCACUUUUUCUUAUCCUGAGAGUGAGAAAACGGGGGAAAAGCUCCGUUUUCAAGAGGGUAACAGCCCAGAUCAUCCGCUAAGGUCCCAAAUGAAAACUAAGUGUUGUUGAUAAGGAAGUGGGGUUACUCAGACAGCUAGGAGGUUGGCUUAGAAGCAGCCAUCCUUUAAAGAGUGCGUAACAGCUCACUAGUCGAGUGACCCUGCGCCGAAUAUGUGCGGGACUAAGUUUUCAACCGAAGCGAUGGAUUGAGAUAUUAAUUUUAUAAUUAAUAUCUCAGUGGUAGGGGAGCGUUCCUAUUGUGGUGAAGGUAUACCGUAAGGAGUGCUGGAACAAUAGGAAGUGAGAAUGCUGGCUUAAGUAACGAAAAGAAGGAUGAGAAUUCCUUCCGCCGUAAGUCUAAGGUUUCCUGGGGAAGGUUCGUCCACCCAGGGUUAGUCGAUCCUAAGUUGAGGCUGAAAAGCGUAGACAAUGGAUAGCUGGUUAAUAUUCCAGCACUACCUAAAUUUCGUAAAAAGCGAUGGGGAGGUCAAGGAGGAUAGGUCUGCAGGGUGAUGGAAUACCCUGUCUAAGCCUGUAGGUGGCAUCUUCAGGUAAAUCCGGAGAUGCAUUAACACUAAGAGGUGAUGGGGAGCCAUUGGGUAACCAAUGGCGAAGUGACCGACUCCAUACUUGCUGGAAAAACCUCUAAGCAUUGAAAUUUAGGUAAUCGUACCGCAAACCAACACAGGUAGACUGGGAUAAAUGUCCUAAGGCGCGCGGAAGAACUCUCGUCAAGGAACUCGGCAAUUUAACCCCGUACCUACGGAAUAAGGGGUGCUCUUCUUGGUUUAGGUAAUAUCUGCUGAAGCUAAGAGGAGCCGCAGAUAAUUGGCUCGGGCGACUGUUUAACAAAAACACAGGUCUCUGCAAAGCCGUAAGGCAAAGUAUAGGGGCUGUGGCCUGCCCAGUGCCGGAAGGUUAUGGGGAGGGGUUAGCUUUCCUUGUGGAAGCGAAGCUCCAAACUUAAGCCCCGGUGAACGGCGGCCGUAACUAUAACGGUCCUAUGGUAGCGAAAUACCUUGUCGGGUAAGUUCCGACGCGCAUGAAA
rnacentral:rRNA from 1 species